GAUGAACGCUAGCUACAGGCUUAACACAUGCAAGUCGAGGGACCGGCGCACGGGUGAGUAACACGUAUCCAACCUGCCCUUUACUCGUGGAUAGCCUUUCGAAAGAAAGAUUAAUAACCGAUAUAAAGGAUGGGGAUGCGUUCCAUUAGGUUGUUGGUGAUGUAACGGCCAACCAAGCAUUCGAUGGAUAGGGGUUCUGAGGGGAAGGUCCCCCACAAUGGAGCUGAGGCACGGUCCAAAAUCCUACGGGGGGCUGCGGUGUGGAAUAUUGUUCACUAGGCGCUGGCCUGACCCAGCCAAGUAUCGUAAAGGAUGAUGCGUUAUGAGUCGUAUACUUCUUUUAUAUAAGAAUCUGUAUUAUAUGAAUAAGCAUCGGCUAACUCCGUGCCAGCAGCCGCGGUAAUAC
rnacentral:rRNA from 1 species